AAUUCCUAUAGCAGUGCUAGCCCAUUUGUGCUCUAACUAGCAGAUUCUUACAUGGCAUCAAAGUAAUGAGGCCUAUGGUCGUAGAUCUAGGACCCGAAGAGCAUUUUGGGUGAGUUGUAGCUAGCUAAACCUAUGAGUUGAGUUAAUUGAGCCCAAUUCAGGUGGAUCAAUGGCCAACCUAGCAAGCUAGACCUAGAGAGUAGAGUCAGAAGAUGUCAUAUCCAAGUAGAUGGACCAAGCCGUGCAAUUACAAGUGACAAUUGGGCUUCAACUAGUCUAGCUUAGUUGCACUUAAGGGGGAGUGUUG
rnacentral:misc_RNA from 1 species